AACCAUAAAAUCUGAACCAUUUGAUGAUAAUAGCCUCGAACAGGAUUCUAGCGGUACUAAAGCCAAUCCAACAGUACCAUUAGGUUUUAGACCAGUGUCAGUGAAGUGUGAAUUAGUUGAGAAGCUUGCUCAAGAUCCCCUCAAGGCAUUAAAUUUUAGCACUGUGAAACCAGUUGAUGCUAAAUCUAUGAAAUCUGAACCAUUUCAUGAGGGUAAUUCAGAAACACCAAAGACAGUAGAUGGGACGUCACACCAAUCUGAUAAGCAGGUGCUACAUGGUGAGGAUACCGGAGGACAAUCCACUUGUUCAACAAAUGAACAUAUUCUACAAGGUCAGGACAUAACAGGACAACCUACUUGUUCAACAAAUAAACAUGCACUGCAAGUUCAGGAUACUGGAGGACAACCUACU
rnacentral:misc_RNA from 1 species